UAGUGGUAUUAACGCUAUUUACCUACUACCCAGGUUAAGAGGAAUAAUUAUAGCGCAUGUGCUCUCCAUUUUAUGUAAUGAAUGCCAGAUAUUCUUUUCAUGUUUUUUUAUGGGGAAAAAGAGAAUGGAAGACAAUGAUACACACGUAGAGAUGCUUAUAAUUCUCAAGUUCAUAAUUAGCACUGGCAAUUAGAAACAUCAAAACAGCACUACCGUUUUCAAUUUGUUUUCUUCCUGUACAGUUGUACAAUGUUUCUUAGAUAAUGGAAUAGAAUCUUGGCCUUUGCUACAAUUGUACUAUGUAGCGAGAGGCAUACAUGAUCCCAUAAAUAAGUGAUCAAGAGUUUUUACAGAUCUUCGUAUACAAAAGACGUCAUGAUCAAUCCAGUUGUACAAAAGCUAUUAAGAUCAUAGUUGUACCAACACAGCAAGUACAGGAGGAGCAUGCCUCUGAUCCUCUCGUGGCUCUUUCUGAUUUAGCCUUGUAUUGCUGCCUAUAGCUAGCCUGCAGCACAUGCACUUGAACCUAACAUUACGCGAGGUGCUUCAUGGCCUGGAAAGUCCAUGUGCCUCCCAAUCCUAUGGUUCGAGCUACUAAGGAAAAAGGAAAAUAGAAAUUGAUACUUGUUGGCCUUAGCAUGUCCAGAUCACUUUACCUUGAGCAUAUGAAAAGGAGAAAAGCAAGAGAACUGCCCUAGGAAUUAAUCCCUCACACACACCUCUACUUCUCUUGCUCUCUGCCUUCUAAGGCCAACAGCCCAAGAGUGCAGAAAUCUACAUAUACACCCAUGCAGCAUCACAGCAGCUGAAUGUCAAAUGAAAAUAAGUUGUAGCUAUGGCCGCAAUAUGAACUCGGGCUAUAUAUAUAUCAAAGAAUCACGGCACUGUAUUUCUAAUUUAAAUUUGAAGGCUCAACAUUCCUAUGCUUUGAACAAAAGAAAAAUACAGCAGCCGACCCGCUUUUAAUUUGGCACUCUGAAUAAUGUCAUGACAAGUUACUUUUAUGAUUUAUGUAAAUUACUUUUAGGUUUUAUUGAAUUUUUUUUAAUAAAUAUCUAAGAAGUAAUUUAGUCAAAUCUAAAAGUGAUAUUUACAUAUGUGACAAAAGUAAUUUAAUACACAUAUAUAUUUUUAUCAGAAUAUAAUUAUGUGAGAUCUUAUUAAAAAUAUUUUAUUGCAACGAAUACAACAAUGCAAUCGGAUCAUAAAUUGGAUAAGUAUUGUAAGAGAAAAUUCUAUAAGUUGAGAAAAAAAAGACAUGCAUGACCUGUAGCAAAAUAGUUCUUCAGCUUGUCUGUAGACAUACAGUAGUAGUUCUCUCACAUAUGGUCGGCGUCGCUUCUUAAUCUAGUGUAGUGUGAUAGGUCAAAGACGAGAUGCCUCCCGAUUUAGAUUUUGCGUUUACGUAAGAUAUGGUUGCAGAAAAUUCACUUGGUAUAGGACCAGUUAACAAUUGCACUCAUUUUUUUCCAUUAUUGUACCACCCAUAAAUUGAACUUAAGGAAACACAAAGGUGUUCGUUGAAUUGUUAUUCUCUUCCCCUUUUUACGACCUAAAUCAACCUAACGCUCUUAAUUCGGACAUGAGCUCUGCCAGCUACCUCAUGUGCUAGAGCUCUGCAAUUCAGCCCUAAGCCUAAGCCAGAAAGAUCAUUUUGGUUUUUAAGCAUAGUAAGUUAGUAACACAAAAGUCACACAUACAAGUCGACUUCCUUUAAACAGGAAGCAAUAAGCAAACUUAACAUUUCGCAUACUGCAUGCUAAUUUCUUUUAGUAAGACACAAGGAAAAAGAUGGAUCGAAUCCUUUCAGAUCUUCUACGUAGCAACGUGAAAAUCACAAGGUAAUAUUCAUACCCAGGCAAACAAUCAGAAGACAGAGCAACCUCAAAAGAAACUGACGAUUGCUUUACUUCCAGGCUACAGCUGACGAAAAUUUCCGUCCUGAUUGCUACUGGUGGAGAAGGCACCGAUCUGAUGGUGAUUGUGCUUUCAAUUCUCUUCGCCUGCGCAAAAUCCAAGGUGAUUUUCAGGGGGACUUUUUGGGCAAGACAAUGGUCUUUGCUACUUAAGGAAGAAGAUGGCCAAAAAGUGAGAGAAUGUUGCUUGAUUCUAGAGAAGAGAGUUUCUGGCUUUUUCGCAAUGAAGGGAUGGAACUUAAGGAAAAGAUUGGGAGAUUAAUGCUCUCUGGUUUUCUUGUGUGGUAUGGUUGAAACUUUGUAUUAACUUUUUAAGAAUUGCUGUUGCUAGAGCCUAAGUGCUCGGGUCUAGUUGCUUGUGAUGGUGUUAAACCUUGUGUAAGAGUGUGAGUCUAUGUACUCUUGUAAGUUUCGUUGGGGCUGUGUACAUCCUUUUUUGGGUGUAGAGGCUGGUUUAAUCCAUUAUCUAAAAAAAUGUAAAGGAUGCACUAUAUGGCACUCUGAAGUAAGGUUUCCCUGAGUAUGGUCUUUUGGUGAACAAAAGAUGGGAGAUGGAUUUUUAUCGC